rnacentral:misc_RNA from 1 species
AUGGUCUGUUAGUAUCCUUCCUGAUUGUCAAAAUGUAGCUUAUAAUACUGCCAAGGUGAAAACACAAACUUCAGUAAUGAUAAAGAAAAAGAACCAAGCUGAAGAUGAACCCUCUUCUCUUAAAUGGUCAUGGAGGCCAGAGAACACUGAUAGAACUGUAAUUUUGGGGAAGGGGCAUAUUCAAACUAGCCAACUUCUUGAUCAAAAAGCUGCAGCUAAUGAUGCUAGUGAUUAUCUUUGGUAUAUGACAAGUGUGCACCUUAAGAAAGAUGAUCCAAUUUGGAGCCGUGAUAUGUCUCUUAGAGUGAAUGGCAGUGGUCAGAUUCUUCAUGCAUAUGUUAAUGGAAAAUAUCUUGGUUCUCAAUGGGCAAAAUAUGGCGUUUUCAGUGAUGUCUUUGAAAAGAAUAUCAAGUUGAAAUUAGGGCAUAACCACAUCAGUUUACUCAGUUCAACAGUUGGAUUAGCGAACUAUGGUCCUAAGUACGAUUUGAUAAAAACUGGAAUUCCAGGUCCAGUGGAGUUGGUUGGUCGUAAAGGUGAUGAGAGCAUUAUAAAAGAUCUUUCUGCACAUAAAUGGUCGUACAAAGUUGGAUUGCAUGGCUUGGAAAAUAAACUCUACAGCUUGGAUUCACCACAAGCUUCCAAAUGGCAAGAACAUGAUCUUCCCACAGACAGGAUGAUGACUUGGUACAAGACUACCUUCAAAGCUCCACUAGGAAAAGAUCCAGUUGUGUUAGAUAUGGAUGGUAUGGGGAAGGGUUUUGCUUGGGUAAAUGGUCAUAACAUUGGAAGAUAUUGGCCAAGUUUCCUUGCUGAGGAGGAUGGUUGUAGCACUGAGGCAUGUGAUUACAGGGGUCCAUAUGAUAACAACAAAUGUGUCACUAAUUGCGGGAAGCCAACGCAAAGAUGGUAUCAUGUUCCUCGUUCUUUCAUGGAAAAUGAUGUGAAUACCUUAAUUCUAUUUGAAGAAUUUGGUGGCAAUCCAGCAAGAGUAAAUUUUCAAACUAUUACAGUUGGAUCAGUAAGUGGAAGUGGUAUUGAAGGAGAUACAGUUGAAUUGUCUUGUCAAGGCCAACCAAUUUCAGCAAUUGAAUUUGCCAGUUUUGGUGACCCUCAAGGGACAACAGGUUCCUUUGUCAAAGGAACUUGUGAAUCAAAAGAUGCAUUAUCAAUCAUUCAAAAGGUAAUUAUCAUUCAAAUCCAAAUUAAUUAGUAUGGAAUAUUAUACAUUCAAUCACCUUCACCCCUCCAUUAAUGGUUUUUGCAGGCAUGUGUUGGCAAGGAGACCUGCAAAAUUGAAGUCUCUAAAGGCGUACUUGGAUCCACAAAUUGUGACAGUAGCAUUGUGAAUACUCUAAUUGUGGAAGCUCUGUGUUAAUUAGUAGUAGGUUUUUUAGCGGUGAUAAUUUCAAUUUUGUUCUCUAUCGAGUGAUUAAGAUAAAUUCUAAAUGAAUU